rnacentral:rRNA from 1 species
GGCUAGCUUGGUCUUGGAAAAAUUGGACGUUAUUGUAACGAAAUGUUCUGGUUUAAAGCAAUUCUUGAUCCAGUAACAAUCCAUAAUGAAAACAUUUUUGUAGAAAAUAAUAUUGAAAGUCUUUUGAUAUUAAAAUUUAGACAAAUUGAAACAUCUUAGUAGUCUAUUCAAUAAAUCAACCGAGAUUUUGUUAGUAGUGGUGAGCGAAAGCAAAUUAGAUUUUUUGUAAAUUCGUGUUUUUUCAGAAUUAACCAGAGAAGGUAUCCAGUCCUGUAAGUUAAAAUAGUUUUUAUAAAGUUAGUAAAACAAAAGUCUUAUUUUGUUUGAAGAGUGGGGUCCCACCCUCAAAAUCUAAAGACAGUUCCAAGAAUCGAUAGCGAACAAGUACCGUGAGGGAAAGCUGAAACAGAACUUAUGAGAGUGAAAAGAUUUAAAAUUCAAUUUUAAUUAGCAGUCGGUAUUACGGCGUGCCUUUUGCAUAAUGAGUCAAUGAGUUUUUUGUAGAAGCAAGCUAAAAGGCGAAAGUUUUUACAAAAAGACCCGAAACCAGGUGAUCUAGCCAUGAUCAGGCUGAAAACUUUCCCGUAAGGGAAGUUGGAGGGCCGAACCCGUGUAUGUGGAAGAAUGCUGGGAUGAAUUGUGGCUAGGGGUGAAAGGCUAAUCAAACCUGGAGAUAGCUGGUUUUUUGCGAAAUAUAUUUAAGUAUAGCGUUUAAAAAUGNUCANUUGGGGUAGAGCACUUUUUAGGUGAUGGGGAUUUUCGAAUUUUACUGAUCUUAGAAAAACUCCGAAUACAAGUGAGAUUAUUUAAACAGUCGGACAGUAGGAGCUAAGUUCUACUGUCGAGAGGGAAACAGCCCAGACUUUUAAUUAAGGCCCCNAAUUANAUUUUAGUUGGAAAGAAGUAAAAAAGUAAAGACAUUCUUGGAGUAGGCUUGGAAGCAGCCAUCUAUAAUAAAAUGCGUAACAGCUUGAAGAGAGAACUUUUUUGCGCUGCUAAUGUAAGGGAUUAAAAUUUAAGCCGAAAUUAAAGAUAAUUANAUAUUAUGGUAGCAAAACGUCUUUUAAAGCUAAGAAGCUAUUUUGUAAAGAAUAGUGGAGCUAUGAAGAGUGUAUAUAUUGACAUAAGUAGCGAUAAACAAUGUUAAGAAUCAUUGUCGCCCUAAGCUCAAUGGAUCCAAUGUUAAAUUUGAUUUCGUUGGCAGUGAACCGGCCCCUAAGACUUAAGCGGCAGCUUUUUAGACGAUGGGAUUAGCUUGUGUGACGAAAAGAAAAGCAUAUAAUUUAUUAUCGACUUUAAAUUGUGUGUUUACUUUUCCAAGAAAUAGCACAAGUAUUAGAAAAACCGUACACUAAUCCGACACAGGUGAGUGGGUAGAGUAUACUAAGGCGGAUGAGAUAAUCUAUGUAAAGGAACUCGGCAAAAUUAUCCUGUAACUUCGGGAGAAGGGAUGACAACUUGUGGGCAACCAAAAGUUGUUGGCACAGAAAUGGAGGUAGCAACUGUUUAUUAAAAACACAGGUCUCUGCUAAUUCGUAAGAAGAUGUAUAGGGACUGACGCCUGCCCGGUGCUGUAAAGUUAAGGGGAGAGGUUUUGGCUUCAAACUUAAGCUCCAGUAAACGGCGGCUGUAACUCUGACGGUCCUAAGGUAGCGAAAUUCCUUGUCGGGUAAUUUCCGACCCGCAUGAAUGGCGUAAUGACUUCCUUACUGUCUCUACAUAGAACUCAGUGAAAUUGAAAUAUUUGUGCAGAUGCGAAUUUGUAGCAGCUAGACGGAAAGACCCCGUGCACCUUUACUAUGUUUAUAAAUUGAAAUAAGAAACUUGUCGUCUAGUCUAGGUGGGAGCAAUAGCGCCGUUGGAAAACCACUCAUCAUUUUUCUUUUUUCUAAGAUCAAUAGAUUCGAUAUUUUAUAUGAGGUAGUUUGACUGGGGCGGUCGCCUCCUAAAGAGUAACGGAGGCGUGCAAAGGUAGGCUCAAGUGAAGAUCUCACUGUAGAGUGUAAUGGCAAAAGCCUGCUUGACUGCGUGAUUUAUACAUCUAGCAGGAACGAAAGUUGGCCAUAGUGAUCCGGUGAUUCUGUGUGGAAAGAUCAUCGCUCAACAGAUAAAAGGUACGCCGGGGAUAACAGGCUUAUACUUCUUAAGAGUUCCUAUCGACGGAAGUGUUUGGCACCUCGAUGUCGGCUCAUCACAUCCUGGAGCUGAAGGUGGUUCCAAGGGUUCGGCUGUUCGCCGAUGAAGGUGAUACGCGAGCUGGGUUUAGAACGUCGUGAGACAGUUCGGUUCCUAUCUACUGUUACUGUUGAAAACUGAGAGAACUAGACCUUAGUACGAGAGGACCGGGAAAAGUGAGUCCAUGGUUUACCAGUUGUUUUGUCAAAAGCACGGCUGGCUAGCUACACUCAUAAGAGAUAAUCGCUGAAAGCCUAUAAGCGAGAAACUCGUCUCAAAAUUAGUUUUCA